rnacentral:rRNA from 1 species
CUCCUCGAAAUAGCUUUAGGGCUAGCCUCGACGGGAGUCUGACGGAGGUAAAGCACUGAAUUGGCGCGGGGGUCCAAAAGCCUACCAACCCAUAUCAAACUCUGAAUGCCGUUAAGAUACCCGCGGGAGUCAGACUGCGUGAGAUAAGUUUCGCGGUCAAAAGGGAAAGAGCCCAGACCAACAGCUAAGGCCCCCAAGUGCGUGUUAAGUGGAAAAGGAUGUGAGAUUUCACGGACAACCAGGAUGUUGGCUUAGAAGCAGCCACACAUUUAAAGAGUGCGUAACAGCUCACUGGUCGAGAGGUCUUGCGCCGAAGAUGUCCGGGGCUAAAACACGCCGCCGAAGCUAUGGAUUCUUAGCAAUAAGAAUGGUAGAGGAGCACACCGUAAGGAAGAAGCCGAAGCGCAAGCGACGGUGGACGAAACGGUAGAGAGAAUGCCGGAAUGAGUAGCGAGAUAUAUGUGAGAAACAUAUAGGUCGAAAGUCCGAGGUUUCCUGGGUCAAGCUAAUCUACCCAGGGUAAGUCGGGGCCUAAGGUGAGGCUGAGAAGCGUAGCCGAUGGACAACAUGUGAAGAUUCAUGUACUGCUAAUAUUCAGAACUGUGGGGACGCAGGAGGAUAACUAAGCCAGGGAAAGGGAAUACCUGGUCAAGCACAAAGCCUAGGGUGCAGGGUAAAGCUGGCAUUUGGUGGUGAAGUGUUAAGAGGAGCGAAAAAAAGUAGCGAAGUUAGUGAUUCCAGGCUGCCAAGAAAAGCCGCUAUAGAGAUGUUAGUACCCGUACCGAAAACCGACACAGGUGGACGAGGAGAAUAUCCAAAGACUAGCGAGGGAAGCAUUGUUAAGGAACUCGGCAAAAUGACCCCGUAACCUAGGGAUAAGGGGUUCCAACGAAGUUGGACACAGAGAAGAGACUCAAGCGACUGUUUAACAAAAACACAGCUCUCUGCAAAACCGAAAGGUGAAGUAUAGGGGGUGACGCCUGCCCGGUGCUGGAAGGUUAAAGGGAGGGGUUAGCUGAAAGGCGAAGCUUCGAACUGAAGCCCCAGUAAACGGCGGCCGUAACUAUAACGGUCCUAAGGUAGCGAAAUUCCUUGUCAGGUAAGUUCUGACCCGCACGAAAGGCGUAACGAUUUGAGUACUGUCUCAACAAUGCACUCGGUGAAAUUGAAAAGCCAGUGAAGAUACUGGCAACCUGCGAUAGGACGGAAAGACCCCAUGGAGCUUUACUGUAGUCUAAUAUUGGGACUGUGUGAUAUAUGUACAGGAUAGGAGGGAAACUGUGAGCUAUGGACGUCAGUUCAUAGGGAGUUGACGGUGGGAUACCUCUCUUAUAUUACAGAGUUUCUAACUAAUAUGCAUGAACUGGAUAUAGGACAGUGUUAGAUGGGCAGUUUGACUGGGGCGGUCGCCUCCAAAAGAGUAACGGAGGCGUUCAAAGGUCACCUCAGAAUGAUUGGAAACCAUUCGAAGAGUAUAAAGGCAGAAGGUGGCUUGACUGUGAGUGCGACGGCACGAGCAGGUACGAAAGUAGGACUUAGUGAUCCGGUGGUA